CUAAAGGAAAAUGUGACAAAGAAGUGCAACUUGAAGAACUGUCAAAAACUCUGAAAGAAAUCCAUGAUUGGAAAGUACAGCUGACUAGUACAGCUGAAAAGGAACAAGAUUAUUUAAACCAGCUUUUAACUCUGAAAACAGAUCUUGAACAAAAAGCGUUAAAGAAUGAACAACUAACAGUACAUCUCAAUAAGCUUUCACUAGAGAAAGAACAAAUAGCACAAGAGAACAAUAGUGUGGCUGCAGAACUCAAGGAACUGCAAGAAAAACAAGAGGCAAGUUGUAAAC